rnacentral:rRNA from 1 species
GUAGGUGGCAAGCGUUGUCCGGAUUUAUUGGGCGUAAAGUGCGCGUAGGCGGUUUGUAAAGCCCGAGGUGAAAUCUCCUGGCCCAACUGGGAGAAGCCCCCGGAUACUGGCAGACUGGAGGGAAGCAGAGGAGAGUGGAAUUCCCGGUGUAGUGGUGGAAUGCGUAGAUAUCGGGAGGAACACCAGUGGCGAAGGCGGCUCUCUGGGCUUCACCUGACGCUGAGGCGCGAAAGCGUGGGGAGCAAACCGGAUUAGAUACCCGGGUAGUCCACGCCGUAAACGUUGGACACUAGGUGUAGGGGGUAUCGACCCCCUCUGUGCCGAAGCUAACGCUCUAAGUGUCCCGCCUGGGGAGUACGGCCGCAAGGCUA